rnacentral:lncRNA from 1 species
UCGUCUGCUCUCGUUAUUGUCUAGACUUUUGACUAGAAAGAAGUGUCGAGAACGAGACGAAGUUUAAGAUUAUAAAGAAAACGUACAUGUGUAACGUAUGUAAGACUAAUUUGGAAAUGUACGUGGCUGUACGAGAAAUGGAACAAAUAAUCAAAUUACAGAAGUGUGGUUUUCGUGUGAACUCUGUUGGUUAUCUCAGUGUGAACUCUGUUUCGGCGUCUUGGCUCUCCGUGCUCGUCCACCUCAUGCAUUUUGGCGGAUAAACAGCAUCCCAUUUCAUUGGAGAAACUCCUGGGGCCGAUCGAGUUACGUAUCUCUUCUUCCCUUUUCUUAAAUCCUCUGUGUCCUCGUGUACAUCCAUGUGAGUGUGGGUGUAUUCACGAGGAUUCCCUUUUGCAGAUCCUGCCUGGCGUAUUCAACUUUACUACGCGGAUGGAGCAACUCUGGAUGCCUGGCUGUAUUUCCCAGGCAUAAAGAUAGACGAGACGAGUUGAAAAGCUGGGGCGAUAUGUUGCCGAGUGCGAGCGGCCAUUAUCUGGAGAGAAUAAAUGAACAACUGAAAACACGGACGCCAUAGAGAGACGAACAACUAAACACCGAGCACGACCGACUCUUUUCUUUUCUUCUUUGAUUUUCUAUUUAUCUAAUAACUUUUUUUUGUGCUGUUGUUGUUGUUGUUGUUGCUGUACGGGAGAAGAAGAAGAAUAAAAAAAAGAAUAGACCGCCUUGGUUGCGCUUGUCGAUCCAUCACCACCUCCGGAGCGGCGCGGCCAUCACCACACAAGCUAAGCAAUUAACAUUCAAUUAAUUAAGGGUUUCACUGCCUCACGAUUUCAUUCUUUUUCUUUCAAAAGCCGGAUUUUUAUUUGUGUGUGUGUCUUGUACUUCUACCCCCCACUCAUUAUUUCCCCCUUUUUUUUGUUUUUUUUGCUUUCGAUAUUAUAAAACCCUUAUAGUCAGCGUUUAGCCACCCACCGAUGGCUUCCUUCUCUGCUGGUGGUUUCCCAGCAGCUUCGUAUCAUCUAUUACCGUUCCUCUGCUCACGAUCCAAUCCCGCAGUUGCAAUUGCGUCGCUAUGAUAUAAUUUACCUGCAUUUCAAAACGGCCCUCUCUGUGGACUGUCUGGUACUAUACUAAGUCCUCUGACUUGUUUCGUAAUCUAAUUACAAGUCUGAUGAUGGCCAGACUAUCGUGAAAUCAAUGAGGGUCGGGCAAGACAGCACACACGCAUUCCUCGUCUGUUCUUAUGAAGAAGAGGUGGGGGGAGAGAGAGAGAGCUAUAGAGCUCGGGUGAUGGCGCGGUUUUUGAAAUUAGAGUGGAGCAUCCGCCGGGCAGACGACACACAAGCAUUCCUUUUGCUCAUCUUCGUUCCUCAUUAUUUAAAAAACAAAAAACAAAAAAAAAACUAUCUUCUUUCUUUUUUCGAACGAAAAACUUCUGCGGUGCGCCGUGUAAAUUGCGUGGCUUGUGUGACAUCGUACACCUUCGACCUCAAAUGCGGCGCUGUGUCAUCCAAUCCGUCACCUUGAGAAACGACUUGAAGUGAUUUUUUCCGAGAAGAAGAAGAAGAAGAAAAAGAAGAAGAAGGAGAGCUCUUAAAUCAGGACAGAGUAUAAGGACAGAGCACACAGCCCAUGGGGUCCAUUUAUGCGGGGGAAAUUUGAACAAGAAGAACAAGGUCUCUCUCUCUCUCUCUUUUUCUCUCUGUGUGGUAUAUAAUUAGGGCUGGUACACAGGAUAAAUGUACAGCCCGGCGCUUGUUCGCUUAUUCACCAAGAAAUCUGCAUUGACCUUUUGCUGCGUUUGCUUGCUGCAGACACACACAACAACAUCUGCGCGGGGGCCGUUUUUAUUCUUCCUCGACUCUCAUCCGCCUCCCUCUUUUGUUUCCCCAUUUUGACAGUGUUUUGAUAAACACUUAAUUACAGUGUACAUAGUAUAGUUACUAGUACAUAUAUAGUCUCUCCAGAGUAUACCCGUACUACACAUACGUGUAUGUAUACCUGAUGAAUUGUUCUUAUUCCUCUCCUGAACCGCAAUUAGCAUUGAAGGUAUAUAAUUCAUUUCUCCUUUUCUUUCCAGUUGUUUCCACUUUCGUCUGAUUCUCUCCUCCGCGCGCCCGUUCAAGUGUUUCGAUAUAUUUCAGAAAGGGCUUCACACAUACGAGCGCGCUUUUAUCAUAUACAGUAAUUCCAAUGGAGAACACACAUAGGAGGGAAAUUCCGACCCGCAACCCCGGCAGCGUCGAUUGCCCGACAUUCUGGUAUAUCAUUUUUUCUUAUGGUGCGGGUUAUUAUUGUAAGAGCCAGCAACUAUAUAACUUAAUAUUCAAUAUCGACCCGAAGCGGCGUUCAAAAUAACAUAGUGUAUCGUUUUUUUUCUUUUCUUUUUCCGUGAGAGAAUACUACUAUAUGAAGUGAUGCAUUCCUCGUCAAAGAGAUGAAGAAUUCACACCUUUAUUGUCUGGAAAUAUAUUGCCGAGCGGGGGCAUACAGGACACA